rnacentral:rRNA from 1 species
GACGUAGGGUGCAAGCGUUGUCCGGAUUUACUGGGCGUAAAGCGCGCGUAGGCGGCUCGUUAAGUGUGGAGUGAAAUCCCUGGGCUCAACUCAGGAACUGCUUUACAUACUGGCGAGCUUGAGGGAUGCAGAGGUCUGUGGAAUUCCUGGUGUAACGGUGAAAUGUGUUGAUAUCAGGAGGAACACCCAUGGCGAAGGCAGCAGACUGGGCAUCGCCUGACGCUGAGGUGCGAAAGCGUGGGUAGCAAACAGG